UACGUAGGCAGCGAGCGUUGUUCGGAAUUACUGGGCGUAAAGAGUGUGUAGGCGGCGCUCUAAGUUCGGUGUGAAAUCUCUCGGCUUAACUGGGAGGGUGCGCCGGAAACUGGAGUGCUCGAACGUGGGAGAGGAAAGCGGAAUUCCUGGUGUAGCGGUGAAAUGCGUAGAUAUCGAGAGGAACACCUGCGGCGAAGGCGGGUUGCUGGGCUGACACUGACGCUGAUGCGCGAAAGCCAGGGGAGCGAACGGG
rnacentral:rRNA from 1 species